rnacentral:rRNA from 1 species
AGCGAACGCUGGCGGCAGGCUUAACACAUGCAAGUCGAGCGGGCAUCCUUGUGGUGUCAGCGGCAGACGGGUGAGUAACGCGUGGGAACGUGCCCUUCGGUUCGGAAUAACUCAGGGAAACUUGAGCUAAUACCGGAUACGUGCGAGAGCAGAAAGGUUUAUCUGCCGAAGGAUCGGCCCGCGUCUGAUUAGCUAGUUGGUGAGGUUAUGGCUCACCAAGGCGACGAUCAGUAGCUGGUCUGAGAGGAUGAUCAGCCACACUGGGACUGAGACACGGCCCAGACUCCUACGGGAGGCAGCAGUGGGGAAUAUUGGACAAUGGGGGCAACCCUGAUCCAGCCAUGCCACGUGAGUGAUGACGGCCUUAGGGUUGUAAAGCUCUUUUCUCCGGGACGAUAAUGACGGUACCGGAGGAAUAAGCCUCGGCUAACUUCGUG